rnacentral:rRNA from 1 species
AGCAGCCGCGGUAAUUCCAGCUCCAAUAGCGUAUAUUAAAGUUGUUGCAGUUAAAAAGCUCGUAGUUGAAUUUCGGGGUUAGUAAGUUGGUCGUGCCACUGGUAUGUACUGGCUUUACUGAUUCCUCCUUCUUGUAGAACCGUAAUGCCAUUAAGUUGGUGUUGCGGGGAAACAGGACUGUUACUUUGAAAAAAUUAGAGUGUUUAAAGCAAGCUAACGCUUAAAUACAUUAGCAUGGAAUAAUGAAAUAGGACGUUCGAUCCUAUUUUGUUGGUUUCUAGGAUUGACGUAAUGAUUAAUAGGGAUAGUUGGGGGCAUUAGUAUUCAAUUGUCAGAGGUGAAAUUCUUAGAUUUAUUGAAGACUAACUACUGCGAAAGCAUUUGCCAAGGAUGUUUUCAUUAAUCAAGAACGAAAGUUAGGGGAUCGAAGACGAUCAGAUACCGUCGUAGUCUUAACCAUAAACUAUGCCGACUAGGGAUCGGAUGAUGUUAAUUUUAUAAUGACUCAUUCGGCGCCUUA